CAGCCGCCGCGGUAACACGAAGGGUGCAAGCGUUAAUCGGAAUUACUGGGCGUAAAGCGUGCGUAGGCGGUGAGUUAAGUCUGCUGUGAAAUCCCCGGGCUCAACCUGGGAAUGGCAGUGGAUACUGGCUCGCUAGAGUGUGUCAGAGGAUGGUGGAAUUCCCGGUGUAGCGGUGAAAUGCGUAGAGAUCGGGAGGAACAUCAGUGGCGAAGGCGGCCAUCUGGGACAACACUGACGCUGAGGCACGAAAGCGUGGGGAGCAAACAGGAUUAGAUACCCCAGUAGUCCCUGUCUCUUAUAC
rnacentral:rRNA from 1 species